UACGUAGGUGGCGAGCGUUAUCCGGAAUGAUUGGGUGUAAAGGGAGCGUAGACGGCUGUGCAAGUCUGGAGUGAAAGGCAUGGGCUCAACCUGUGGACUGCUUUGGAAACUGUGCAGCUUGAGUGUCGGAGAGGCAAGUGGAACUACAUGUGUAGCGGUAAAAUGCGUAAAUAUAUGUAAGAACACCGGUGGCGAAGGCGGCUUGCUGGGCCUGUACUGACAUUGAGGCACGAAAGCGUGGGGAGCAAACAGG
rnacentral:rRNA from 1 species